UUCCGGUUGAUCCUGCCGGAGGUCACUGCUAUUGGGAUUCGACUAAGCCAUGCGAGUCGAGAGGGUUCGGCCCUCGGCAGACGGCUCAGUAACACGUGGAUAAUCUGCCCUUAGGUGGAGGAUAACCUCGGGAAACUGAGAAUAAUACUCCAUAGAUCUAGGAUGCUGGAAUGCACUUAGAUUGAAAGUUCCGACGCCUAAGGAUGAGUCUGCGGACUAUCAGGUAGUAGUCAGGGUAAAGGCCUGACUAGCCUACAACGGAUACGGGUUGUGAGAGCAAUAACCCGGAGACGAUAUCUGAGACACGAUAUCGGGCCCUACGGGGCGCAGCAGGCGCGAAACCUUCACAAUGUGCGAAAGCACGAUGAGGGAAUCCCAAGUGCUUGCUCGUAAGAGUAAGCUGUUUUUAUGUCUAAAAAGCAUAGAGAGUAAGGGCUGGGUAAGACGGGUGCCAGCCGCCGCGGUAAUACCUGCAGCUCAAGUGGUGACCGCUAUUAUUGGGCCUAAAACGUUCGUAGCCGGUUUGGUAAUUGCCUGGGUAAAUCGUGUAGCUUAACUAUACGAAUUCCGGAUAGACUGCCAAACUUGAGACCGGGAGAAGCUAGAGGUACUCCUGGGGUAGAGGUGAAAUUCUGUAAUCCUGGGGGGACCACCAGUGGCGAAGGCGUCUAGCUAGAACGGGUCUGACGGUGAGGAACGAAGCCCUGGGGCGCAAACCGGAUUAGAUACCCGGGUAGUCCAGGGUGUAAACGCUGCUUGCUUGAUGUUAGUUGGGCUCCGAGCCCAAUUAGUGUCGGAGAGAAGUUGUUAAGCAAGCUGCCUGGGAAGUACGAUCGCAAGAUUGAAACUUAAAGGAAUUGGCGGGGGAGCAC
rnacentral:rRNA from 1 species